GACGAACGCUGGCGGCGUGCUUAACACAUGCAAGUCGAACGGAAAGGCCCUGCUUUUGUGGGGUGCUCGAGUGGCGAACGGGUGAGUAACACGUGAGUAACCUGCCCUUGACUUUGGGAUAACUUCAGGAAACUGGGGCUCAUACCGGAUAGGAGCUCCUGCUGCAUGGUGGUGGUUGGAAAGUUUCGGCGGUUGGGGAUGGACUCGCGGCUUAUCAGCUUGUUGGUGGGGUAGUGGCUUACCAAGGCUUUGACGGGUAGCCGGCCUGAGAGGGUGACCGGCCACAUUGGGACUGGGAUACGGCCCAGACUCCUACGGGAGGCAGCAGUGGGGAAUAUUGCACAAUGGGCGGAAGCCUGAUGCAGCAACGCCGCGUGCGGGAUGACGGCCUUCGGGUUGUAAACCGCUUUCGCAUGUGACGAAGAGUGAGUGACGGUAAUGGGUAAAGAAGCACCGGCUAACUACGUG
rnacentral:rRNA from 1 species